rnacentral:rRNA from 1 species
CAGCCGCCGCGGUAAUACCGGCGGCCCGAGUGGCGGUCACUAUUAUUGGGCUUAAAGCGUCCGUAGCCGGGGUGGGAAGUCCUCCGGGAAAUCUGGCCGCUUAACGGUCAGAAUGCCGGAGGAUACUCCCAGCCUAGGGAGCGGGAGAGGCCGAGGGGAUUCCCGGAGGAGGGGGGAAAUCCUAUAAUCCCGGGAGGACCACCUGUGGCGAAGGCGCUCGGCUGGAACGCGUCCGACGGUGAGGGACGAAGGCCAGGGGAGCAAACCGGAUUAGAUACCCGGGUAGUCCUGGCUGUAAACGAUGCGGACUUUGUGUCGGACAAGCUAUGAGCUUGUCCGGUGCCGGAGGGAAACCGUUAAGUCCGCCGCCUGGGGAGUACGGCCGCAAGGCUGAAACUUAAAGGAAUUGGCGGG